CAGAGGUCCGACCUCCUUCCCGGCGCCUCCUCCUCUGAUCGCUGCCGUGGCAACCGGGACCUUAUAUACCCCUCCUCGUCCAAUCAGCUGCCUUUGCCCCGUCUCUUCACAUUUGACGCUCCGCGCGGCUUUUGUCCUCCGUCACCAGUCUCUGUGACCUCGGAUCCUCCGCGCGCCAUCCCAACGAGUGGUCCUUUCUGGCACCCUCUCGCAACUUCUGAUUUCUGGUCCUUCCCAAACCAGCCCACCUCCACAGCCCUAUUCUUACUACCUCCUUCUCUGAACUACCGAAUCCCACCCACGAUUUGCCACUGGGAAGCAAAAUCUUGCUUAAAUCACAACCAUAAGCAUUUGAAAUACAUCCCGAAUCUGAGCACUUCUCACCAUCGCCUAUGCUGACACUGCUGGCCAUGAGGGCUGAACCACCGUGAUCUCUCACCUGGAAGACCUGCAACAGCCUGCUCACUGUUUGCCCUACUUCCACCAUUGCGUUCCAACAGUCUGUCGUCUCAGGAGCAGCCAGAGUGAUUGUCUCCUGAUAGAAAUUGGGUCACGUCGCCCCUCUGCUCAAAACCUUCCUAUGACUCACCACUUCUAAGUAAAAUGCAAUGACCUUAUUAAGGACUGCACUGUCUUAUUUGAUCUGACCCCCCUCAUCCCUUUUAGCCCCAUUUCCUAACACUGUCCCCUUGCUUUGCUGUUCCACUCAAACUCACUAAGCCCGCACCAGCAUCAGAGCAUUUGCACUCGCAAUUUUCCCUGAACCUGGAACAGGUCCCCCAAACAGUCCACCUGGCUAACUAGUUCCCUCAUCUCAUCAAGUGUCUGUAACAACUCCAUAUCUUAUUAGAGAGGCCUUCCCUGAUAUCACCCUACAUAGAAGAGAGCUCCCUCCAUGAACAUCCCGCCCAUCAUCCUGCUGUAUUUUUCUUUAGAGCACUUACCACCUGCCUGACAUUUGUUUAUCUAUUUGAUGGCCCCUCACCCUAAAUAUAAGCUCCAUGGGAGCAAGGAAUUUGUCCAUUUUGUUCACUGCUCUAACAUAAGUGCCUAGGAAAAUGUCUGGAAUGUAUGAGGUACUCAAAAAAUGAUUUGUUGGAUGAACAUAUGAUUCCUCAUAUAUUAUAAAUAUAUUACACUAUUAACCUACACAGAGUCUCCAUAUAUAAAUAGUACCGAGAGGGAAUAUGCCAUGAGACCAAGGCAUUUUGUG